AUAUUUUAGUUUUUCCAGCAGGAGAGAAUGGUUGCCCUUAACCUGUAUGUGGCUGUGAGUCUCAACCAUAUCGGGAUUCCAUGGAGCGGUUCACGUCUUUGAUCUAUAGGCUCUCUCCCUCUUGUUGCUUUGGACGUUCAUCUCUAGAUCAUGUUACCUUCUAACCGGGGAAAAAUAUCUUGCACAAUGACAAAGUGAAAAAAUACGCGCUAAACCGAUCCGUUCGAUUAGCCCAGCUGAUAUCAUUCUGUCAAAAUACAUUUGUUUACAUUUGGACGUCGCCGUAAAAUACUGGUUACUGGUUACUUUUUCUGCUGGAAUUGUUCAUAAUAUAUUUUAGAUCAACUCUUAGUGAAGCAGUGGGUAAAACGAUGAGAACCGCUUUUCAAGGCCAAAUCAAACCUACUUGUCAAAUGAAUUCAUGAAGAAAUACCUAUAGCGACAAUUCCGAAAAGCAUAAUACACACCUUCUUAAUUUUUAUAUUUUCAACCCGUGCAUUUGGUGACAUUUGGCCAUUCGAGUCUUCAUUUUUAUCAAAGUGACGAAGAAACGGAGGCGGGAAGAAUGUAAAUGCAAGGCUAAGAACGAGGAAGCGAAUAGCAGAGAAGAACAAAAAGAAACGGUGGAACAGAAAUUCUACGACGGGAAACGAAAAGAUGACGAAGAAAUCGUCCAAAAAUAAAAAUAAUAAAAUUAAAAAUUGAGUAACAUUGAAGAUGACUGACUCCCUGAGAAAAAGAAAUGAGAGCAGACGGCUGAGCGGCCUAGAAAAGGUGUUUAAUAUAAAUCUAGCAACAUUAAAUGAAAUGAUGGUACGAAGAAGAGUGCUCAAAAGAUGAGCUCUUGUUGAGGAGAAGAAUCGAACGAAACGAAAUGGAGAGAAGAAUGCCAAUGCAUUAAGACGGCUAAGAACGAGGAUGCGAAUAGAAGAUGAGAAUAAACAGAAAAGGUGUUUCAUAUAAAUCUAGCAACAUUAAAUGAAGUGAUGGUACGAAGAAAAGUGCUCAAAAGAUGAGCACUUGUUGUGGAGAAGAAUCGAACGAAACGAAAUGGAGAGAAGAAUGCCAAUGCAUAAAGACGGCUAAGAAUGAGGAUGCGAAUAGAAGAUGAGAAAAAACAAAACGGAGAAAGUUAAAUACCCACGACGGGAGACGAAAAGACGACGAAUCAGCGGAAAUAUGACAGAGAAAACAUCCAAAGAAUAAAUAGAAUAAUAACAUUGAAGAUGACAGACUCCCUGAGGGAAAAAAUGAGAGUUGACGGUUGAGCGAUCUAUAAAAUAUGUUUCAAAUAAUUUUGGUAAUAUUAAAUGAAAUGAUGGAUUCAGAAGAAUGCUAAACAAAUUAGAAUGAUAGGAACAUCAAGCGAAACGAAAUAGAGAAAGAAGGUGUAAUGAACGAGGUUGCAGAAUAUAUUUCCGAGUUAAUACAAUUCGAUUUUCUAAAAAAGCAGAGAAGAGUUAUGGAUGCUUAAGUGUCCCCGAAGGGAAAGGAAAAGUCUACGACCCAGCGGAAUAAUGACAUCCAAAUAUAAUAAUAUAAAUUUUUUUCUCAACAAAACACAGCUUAGAAAAGAAAAACAACAUUGAUGAUGACUGACUUCCUGAGAAAGAUUGGAACAUAAAAUUUGGAAGCUGCUGAAAAGAGUCAACGAAAUCCAGAAAGAAGGAAUAAUAAACGAGAUUGCGGACUAUAUUGCCGAGUUAACAGAUAUCUUUAAGCUUAAAGUGCCACAAAUGCGGCAGAUUUUAAGAAGAGCAGGCCAAUGCAUCUCUUCAAGAUGGCCAUGUCGAUUAUUCCGCAAAUUUGGAUUAACAGAAUUUGAUUUUUUAAAAAUGCAGUGAAGUAUUUGGGAAGCUUUAUAUGCUAUAGAAGCGCUAGAGUUUAAGAAGGGCAGGAUUGCCAAGACAUCUCUUCAAGAUGGGCAUGUCGAUUAUUCCGGAAAUUUGCAUUUGACAUUUAACAUGCGAUUGGAAGGAGGCGCUGAGAAAGCGGCUGAGGAUAAGGUUAGCGGGGUUGCCAAGACAUCUCUUUAAAAUGGCCAUUUCGAUUACUCGGCAAAAUCGGAUUGGAGUGCGGUCCAACGCCAUAAAGUAGCAACAACAAAGGAUGAGAAGAGCUGGAAGAAGGAGGAAUCCACAAUGAAGGAGAACACAACAUUCGGUUAUUCUAAAAAAGACAGCAAGGCAGAAAAGAAUAAUAAAAAGCAGUACAAUACGCAAGCUGACUACAAAAUGCAAAUUGCGGUUAGCGGAUUAUGGACACCCCUCCCCUCCAUUUUGAGAAGAAAUCCAUACCCCUGGAAUAAUAUGUGGUCUUGGUCCUGACUAGCAGAUGGUAUGGAGUCCUUAACUGAUUGCCAUAAAGUUGACAACAAAUUAUGAGCCAAUAAUGGAACCCUCUACUGUCCAGGUGAUCAUCACAUCUCUGUUCACGCUCAUCGUUUUUAGUUUAGCAUAAAUGUAUCUCAACCACACCACUCGACUCCAUUGGGUUCCAUCAAAGUUAGGCAUCAUCUUUAACAUAGCCACACAGACAGACGGACGGACAGACAGUCAGUCCGACAUCAGCCCUGUAGCUAGGGUAAUAUUGAUACAAUCUCAUCUUCACAGUCGAUUAAAGUUGCAUGCAUCAGCAUGCCCAUGCCCGAUGAUUUUCCUAUGAUUUAUAAAUAAUUAAUUAAAUAUGAAAGUAAAUCUUUAAAUCCAAAUAUCAUCCAUCUGCAUAGGAAUGUUCUGCUAACGAAGCAGUUAUACCGAAAUGCUAAAAGUGUGUCUUAUAACUUUUGGCCUGCUGAAGGCAUAAACAAAAGAGAGUGUGUGUGUGUGUUAGUCAGGAUGAAGGUUCUCAAC